AGUUUCCCCAAUCAAAGCUACUAGCCUAAAUUUUGCCGAAUAACUGUUGCAAACCUAUCUUUCCUUGGUUCUCUCUGAAUUUCUGCUUUCCAGCUAUUGCAGUUUCCUUUUCCUCAAGAGGACUUGUUCACUUGGUGAGGGCCUUCUAUCUUCAAAAGCAUCCAUCAGGGCUCUUCCAAGGGGAACUCUUCGUUCUUCUUGAUAUGGAGAAUAUUUCGAGGCUAUUCAUCUCUUAGUUGCGGAUUGUUUGAGAGCUGGACAUCUGAUGAAUGGUCUAAAGACAUGUUUUGAAGUUUUCCUAUGUGUGAAAAGCUGUGAUCAUAAGCUGUUCUCUCAAUCUGAUGGGGUUAUUACAAGGUUGAUGGAAAAGAUGCCAUGGUUAAUGGACUAUGGAGAAAGUCAAAUUUUUUAUGUACGAGUGGUAGAGUUCAACACUGGAAGUAUACAUGAAAUUCUGAUCCGUAUCAACCUUGUUAGCAAUAUAGUCCUUGAGGAUGGCAAUUUCCUGGUGAUAGAGUGCCCAUGCCUUGUAAGGGGAACCUGUUAUGAAAAAUACUUGGCAAUUCUAAGUCUAAUUUAAGAGUCUAUAGUUACAAUGGUGAGUCCAUGAAAGUAUACAGGAGGCUGAGGCAGAGAGAGAGAUUUUAUUGAGGCCUAGAGCUCUAUAAGAAUAUGCAAGAAUGAUGAUUCUGGCUAGCUACAGGGAUUCUCAUGCAUGAGGUAAAGAACAGAGAUAUGGAUUUGCCAAUACAUGGGAAAGCAGCUGGUUGGAUUUUAAGUCAUGCCUUGCAGAAACAGAAUUCGCCUCCAUUCUGAUGACGAAUGCUGCUAAUGGGGCAUGUCAGCCCUUUAAGGAAACAUAGCUUGGUCUCCUCAAGAAGCUUUCAUUGAUCUGUUGAAGGAUUCUGAGUUGGCACAUCUGAAAAGCUUGAGUAGUAACCCUCGUACCAAUUCAUCAGAAACCUCCCUAUAGGAUGCAUAUCUUCUGAUCUAAAGGGAUGAUGCUAUAACAUGAGUUGCAGCCCCAGCAUUGAAUGGUCAAGACAAAUGUCCUCGGAUUGAAGAAUUGGGAUAUCUAAAGAACCUUCCUUGGAGACUGAUUUUCUGCUAUCUUGAGGGAUUCAACGGCAAAGAAGCUGCUCAAAGGGCAGAUUUGUUUAAAGAUCCAAAUUUGUACGAGUUGGAAUUCCAAUAGUAGGGUUAAGAAUAACAAAAAUGUGUUAAAAGGUAUCCAACCUCUACCAAAUUUAAAAUGCUUAACAAUCCUAGCUUUUGUGCGAGAUCGGUUGCCUUCAUUGGUUAUCAGAAAUGUGAUAAUUCAUUCCUAAGGCUUAGAAAUGUGAUGGAGGUCAAAUUGUUGCACUGCUGCAACUUGCAAAGGAUUCCCAACAUUUGGGCAUCAACCGUUUCUUCACUGUCUUGUAAUGGAUUGACUACAUAGGUUAACAAGCAUU